GACACUGAUCCAGAACCAGAGGGCAAUUCAACUCCACAAAAGUUUAUUCUUCAAACAGGUUUGAUUGACAAACCACGAGUGAGUACCCUGAAACUAACAUAGAAAUAAAUAAAUCGGGCUCCUUUGAGACAUUGACUUUACUCUGAUUUACAAUUUUGUACAAAAUAUAUUAAUAUCAUUCAGUUAGGUAACAUUUCUUUGUUUCUUUAUCAAACAGAUCUGUGGUCUCCAUUUGCGUUGAGUUCCACAAGUUUUAAAAGUAUUAAAUAACAUUAACAUAGCCUACUUUUAGCAUUAAAGAAUUCAUGACGUAAAACUAUAACAAAAGUGAUUGUAUUUUGUUUCGUAUAUCCCUAUCUGUUGUAUCAGCUGUGUGUGUAUUCAUUUAUUUGUAUUAAUUUGUUUGUGUCUUCUUUUCAAAAGAACGUCUGACUCAAUCAUAAGGAAGAGUAAAAUGGACGCCCAUUCAUCAAAACGGGACGCUAAGGUGACAAUAACGAUAUCUAAGCAAAUUAAAAAAAGUGCGGACCUGGUAAGAACCCGCUAUGGUAAAAAAAAAAAAACAACGAUCCUAUAGUGCCACCAAGAUCCCCCGCAGAUAUAGUCUUGAGAGAAGAAGGCAUAUACUCGGUCUUUCCAUUUACUUAUGAUGUGUACGAAUGGACAGAUGGCUGUUGGCCAAUAGGUAGUUCUUUUGAUUCUUGCAAACUACAAGAAUUAAAAGAAACAAUAACGUCUGGACCAGAUCCGAAUUGGGAUUUUAAUUACACACAGAAUUGUUUAGAUGCAUGGAUUCGCACGGAAAAACGACACCCAAUACCGAAACCAGUUAAACAAGAAGUAACUCCAGAAAUCGCGUCUAACAUUUUCAAAAAAAACAACUAUGCAAAUCAACCCAGAUUGGACAGAAGUGUAUAGAACAGCUCUGUUGAACAUAACAGCAACUAGUAAUGCAGAACAUGUUGAUCAAUUAAUGACUGAAAUAGAGUUAACAGCCGCAGAAGUAGACGCUAUUAAAACAGCCCAAAACAACAUAAAAGACAAAACCGCCCUCGCUACACUUUGUGCAUGGAGCCAACGUCAACUCGUUAAAGAACCCCCCAGAUGCUAUUACUGCGAAAAGAUUGGUCAUCAGGAGAGAUAUUGCAGAAAGAAACACAGAGACAAGGCCAAACCGUCAGCCCCGCCCAUGGAACCAGUCAACGGCCCCCACACCAUGAAGAACACGCUCCAACGCCCAGGUGAGUAUAAUCAUUACUAGGACCCCUUGGAAAAGGAAACAAGGAUCCAGGCAACGCUUCUUCAACUGUCUUCCACCCCCACCGAAAAUCCAAAAUGCUCCGUGCAGAUGGCAAGGACCAAUCCAGGUGUAACUGACCACGAGGGCUGCAGUCAUACUCCAAGGAAAACCAGAAUGGAUCCAUGCAAGCCGAUGCCGCCCAGCACCUCCAGAAGAGGAAAGCACCAACGCCUUGAGGGGAAAAACGGUCUGUCUAGUUACUGGACCAGAUAAAAUGAGACGGAGAGCCUCGAAUGGACCACCUCUACCGCAAUCUGCAUAAUACUCCUGAUGAGCCCAGCAGACCAAUGCAACGCAACCACCAGCAACAACGACCGACUCCCAACCAUAGCGGAUUCCCAGCUAACCACAUCAUCACACAACCAGUUUGCAAGCCUACUUGCUGCAGCUCAAACCCACUUCAACACCACCAAGAAUGGGCCCCUUAGUCCAAUGAAGAGUUACCAAAUGGAAAAUGAGUGACCUAACAUGCUAGGCAUAAAUUUUACUAAUGUACAUAUUGAUCAUUUACUUUUACUUUUACUAAUUUCUUUGAAUUUGCAAUUUUACUAAUGUACAUAUUGAUUACUUUAUUAAUGAUUGAUUUUUACGAAUUUCUUUGAAUUUUAUUCCUAUUAUUCUGUGUUUUAACUUGUUUUACCCUCAUUUGUAAUCCUGUGACAUAAUAUAUCACCUGUAAUAAGUGUUGAUCUUAUGAUCAAAAAGGGAGGAACUGUCGUGGAAAUAUCAAUCAUAACUAUAAAUAUACAAUCACAUACAAAUUAUAUUAACCUGUUUAUAUAAUUA